CCGUAGCCCAAGAGAUCGGGAUAACACCUGGAAACAGAUGCUAAUACCGGAUAACAACAGAUGAUGCCUAUCAACUGUUUAAAAGAUGGCUCUGCUAUCACUCUUGGAUGGACCUGCGGUGCAUUAGCUAGUUGGUAGGGUAACGGCCUACCAAGGCGAUGAUGCAUAGCCGAGUUGAGAGACUGAUCGGCCACAUUGGGACUGAGACACGGCCCAAACUCCUACGGGAGGCAGCAGCC
rnacentral:rRNA from 1 species